rnacentral:rRNA from 1 species
GAGAAUAAUGCCCGAUAGAACAUUAUGCCUGGAAUGGUUUAUGUUUCAAAUGAUUUAUCGCCAUAGGAUGGGACUGCGGCCUAUCAGUUUGUUGGUGAGGUAAUGGCCCACCAAGACUAUUACAGGUACGGGCUCUGAGAGGAGUGGCCCGGAGAUGGGUACUGAGACACGGACCCAGGCCCUAUGGGGCGCAGCAGGCGAGAAAACUUUGCAAUGUGCGAAAGCACGACAAGGUUAAUCCGAGUGGUUUCUGCUAAAGAAACCUUUUGUCAGUCCUAGAAACACUAACGAAUAAGGGGUGGGCAAGUUCUGGUGUCAGCCGCCGCGGUAAAACCAGCACCUCAAGUGGUCAGGAUGAUUAUUGGGCCUAAAGCAUCCGUAGCCCGUUUUGUAAGUUUUCGGUUAAAUCCAUGCGCUUAACGUAUGGGCUGCCGGGAAUACUGCAUAACUAGGAAGUGGGAGAGGUAGACGGUACUCGGUAGGAAGGGGUAAAAUCCUUUGAUCUAUUGAUGACCACCUGUGGCGAAGGCGGUCUACCAGAACACGUUCGACGGUGAGGGAUGAAAGCUGGGGGAGCAAACCGGAUUAGAUACCCGGGUAGUCCCAGCUGUAAACUAUGCAAACUCAGUGAUGCAUUGGCUUGUGGCCAAUGCAGUGCUGCAGGGAAGCCGUUAAGUUUGCCGCCUGGGAAGUACGUACGCAAGUAUGAAACUUAAAGGAAUUGGCGGGGGAGCACCACAAGGGGUGAAGCCUGCGGUUC